GCUAGCAGGUUCGGCUGAGCAGCUAUAAGGGGGCGGGAGCUGCCUGGAGAGGAGGCUCCUGGUCCGCUCCAGCCGCCCCGCUCCGUCUGCACUGGGGACGCUCAGAGGUGCUGCGGUGGGGCUGUGGCCACGUGAAAAUCAAACUGGAUAUUUUUUUUAAACAGUGCAUGAGUUCUAGAAUACAGAGAGGCAGGGAAGGAUGGGCUUGUGAUUAAGGCACUGGACUGGGAGAUGGGGGUUCAGCGGCUGCUGCUCUGCAGACUUCCUGUGUGAUGGAGGAAGUCUUCUCCUUAGAGAGGAUCUGAAUGGUUGGAGCAUGCGCUGAGUCUUGUUUUGAUGGGAAGACUUGUAAUACAUCACAGAGUGGCAUACUGCUGUGUAAAAGAUACUUACUUUAAAACAUGAUUAAUAUAAUUGCAAUGACUGAUUUAGUAUUGAUGGCUCUUCAACAGAAUAAUAAACUCUUCUGCUUUUCUGGAUAAUCUGGCUAUGAUAUAUGGAGUGUGGCAGGUGCAGCACA